rnacentral:rRNA from 1 species
GAUGAACGCUGGCGGCGUGCCUAACACAUGCAAGUCGAACGGAGUCCAGCCUUAGAGACCUUCGGGUCAAAGAGGGGAAGCCUGAGUGGCGGACGGGUGAGUAACACGUGGGCAACCUGGCUCAUAGAGGGGGAUAACAGAGAGAAAUUUCUGCUAAUACCGCAUAAGCACACCCUGCCGCAUGGCAGAGUGUGAAAAGAGAAUCGCUAUGAGAUGGACCCGCGUCUGAUUAGCCAGUUGGCAGGGUAAGAGCCUACCAAAGCGACGAUCAGUAGCCGAUUUGAGAGGAUGAACGGCCACAUUGGGACUGAGACACGGCCCAAACUCCUACGGGAGGCAGCAGUGGGGGAUAUUGCACAAUGGGGGGAACCCUGAUGCAGCGACGCCGCGUGAGUGAAGAAGUAUUUCGGUAUGUAAAGCUCUAUCAGCAGGGAAGAUAAUGACAGUACCUGAAGAAGAAGCCCCGGCUAACUACGUG